GAUGAACGCUAGCGGCAGGCCUAAUACAUGCAAGUCGAGCGAGAAGGUGUAGCAAUACACUUGUAAAGCGGCGAACGGGUGAGGAAUACAUGGGUAAUCUACCAUCGAGUGGGGAAUAACCAGCCGAAAGGUUGGCUAAUACCGCGUACGCUUCCGAGUCUUCGGGCUUGGAAGGAAAGCCGCACUGUGAGUGCGGCGCUCUUUGAUGAGCUCAUGUCCUAUCAGCUUGUUGGUAGGGUAACGGCCUACCAAGGCUUUGACGGGUAGCUGGUCUGAGAGGACGAUCAGCCACACUGGCACUGCGACACGGGCCAGACUCCUACGGGAGGCAGCAGUAAGGAAUAUUGCGCAAUGGGCGAAAGCCUGACGCAGCGACGCCGCGUGGGGGAUGAAGGUCUUCGGAUUGUAAACCCCUUUCGGGAGGGAAGAUGGAGCGAGCAAUCGUUCGGACGGUACCUCCAGAAGCAGCCACGGCCAACUUUGUGCCAGC
rnacentral:rRNA from 1 species